rnacentral:ncRNA from 1 species
CCGGUUGAUCCUGCCAGUAGUCGUAUGCUUGUCUCAAAGAUUAAGCCAUGCAUGUGUAAUUAUGAACUAUUUUAGACUGUGAAACUGCGAAUGGCUCAUUAAAUCAGUUAUAGUUUGUUUGAUGGUAUCUGCUACUCGGAUAACCGUAGUAAUUCUAGAGAAAAUACGUGCAACCAACCCCGACUUCUGGAAGGGAUGCAUUUAUUAGAUAAAACGUCGAUGCGGGCUCUGCUAAUUGCUUCGAUGGUUCAUGAUAACUCGAUGGAUCGUAUGACCAUCGCGCCGGCAACGCAUCAUUCAAAAUUUUUCCCAAUCAACUUUGGAUGGUAGGAUAGUAGCCUACCAUGGUGGUGACGGGUGAUGGAGAAUUAGGGUUCGAUUCAAGAGAGGGAGCAUGAGAAACAACUACCACAUCCGAGGAAGGCAACAGGCGCGCAAAUUACCCAAUCCUGACACGGGGAGGUUGUUCAUGAAUUUUGAAUGUUUUAAAAUUUAUACCGCAAGUGCAUAGU